rnacentral:rRNA from 1 species
UGCAGUCGAGCGCACCUUCGGGUGAGCGGCGGACGGGUGAGUAACGCGUGGGAACGUGCCCUUCUCUGCGGAAUAGCCACUGGAAACGGUGAGUAAUACCGCAUACGCCCUUCGGGGGAAAGAUUUAUCGGAGAAGGAUCGGCCCGCGUUAGAUUAGGUAGUUGGUGGGGUAAUGGCCUACCAAGCCUACGAUCUAUAGCUGGUUUGAGAGGAUGAUCAGCCACACUGGGACUGAGACACGGCCCAGACUCCUACGGGAGGCAGCAGUGGGGAAUCUUAGACAAUGGGCGCAAGCCUGAUCUAGCCAUGCCGCGUGAGUGAUGAAGGCCUUAGGGUCGUAAAGCUCUUUCGCUGGGGAAGAUAAUGACUGUACCCAGUAAAGAAACCCCGGCUAACUCCGUGCCAGCAGCCGCGGUAAUACGGAGGGGGUUAGCGUUGUUCGGAAUUACUGGGCGUAAAGCGCGCGUAGGCGGAUCAGAAAGUUGGGGGUGAAAUCCCGGGGCUCAACCUCGGAACUGCCUCCAAAACUCCUGGUCUUGAGUUCGAGAGAGGUGAGUGGAAUUCCGAGUGUAGAGGUGAAAUUCGUAGAUAUUCGGAGGAACACCAGUGGCGAAGGCGGCUCACUGGCUCGAUACUGACGCUGAGGUGCGAAAGUGUGGGGAGCAAACACGAUUAGAUACCCUGGUAGUCCACACCGUAAACGAUGAUUGCCAGUCGUC